CUCAGGGGGUUCGUUCGUGAGCAGUACGCCAUGGCGUGCGAGCUGCUCGGUCCGGAUUGUGAAAUAUUCCUGACGGGUGGGGAUGCCGAACUGGUUCGCGACGAACUGGCUGGCGCCCGGAUCAUGCCGGACCUGGUUUUCGUAGGGCUGGCACUGGCUUGCCCGAUUGAGUGAGAGGAUCUAUGCGCUGGUUCUUCCUGUUUCUCCUGGCCCUGAACGUCUUCUACUACGUCUGGCACCAGCAGCAAUCCCCGCUACGGGCCAAGGAAAUCGCACCGCUGGAACUCUAUAAGGAUGGGCAGAAGAACAUUCUGCUGUUGGCCGAGAGCAACCUUGCUUCCAGGGCGCGCUCGGGAUCGCAGGUGCCGGCGCCGAGUGUGCCUCCGGCUGCCGAAGAGUCGAUCGCAUCCGAGUCGGCCUGUCUCUAUCUUGGCGGAGGCGGUGAGGAGGCGGAUGCCCGAAGGUUGCAGCAGCGCCUGCUGGGCCUGGAUAUCGAGGCGGAGGUCGAGGCCCGUGGGGAGAUGAGCGUCGAUUACUGGGUCUAUCUUCCUCCGCUAGCCUCGCGGGAGGCUGCGCUUCGUCAGUUGAAGGAGCUUCAGGCGCGCAAUAUCGACAGCUACCUGAUUGGCGAGGGAGUGCUGGCCAAUGGCAUUUCUUUGGGGAUGUUUUCCGCGCGGGAUUCGGCUGAAAGUGCGCAGGCCCGUCUCAAGACGGCAGGUUACGAGGCGGAGCUGAAGGAAUUGCCCCGCGGGCAGCGUGAUUUCUGGGUAAGGGUGGCACCCGGCAGCCGGCGUCUGGUGGAUGAGCAACUGCUCCAGGAGCUGGCUCGGGACUUCAAGGGAUUGCAGCAUCAAAUAAUGUCGUGCAAAGGUGUUGCAUCCCCCUGAUGGUUUGCAUAGAAUGGCGCCCGCUUCGCAGGGGGAAGGCUGAAAGACUCCUACCAUGAAGUUGCUGUUGAAACCUAAGUUCAGGUUUUUUAAGAGAAAACUCUUGACAGCAAGGUGGCAGACGUAGAGAAUGCCGCCCACCAGUUUGGAGGGAUUCCCGAGUGGCCAAAGGGAUCAGACUGUAAAUCUGACGUCAUAGACUUCGAAGGUUCGAAUCCUUCUCCCUCCACCAGUUUAAAAGCGUGAGCUUCGGGCUCCGCGGGUAUAGUUCAGUGGUAGAACCUCAGCCUUCCAAGCUGAUGAUGCGGGUUCGAUUCCCGCUACCCGCUCCAGUCAAGUUGCUUGUGUUUCGCUCAUGUAGCUCAGUUGGUAGAGCACACCCUUGGUAAGGGUGAGGUCAGCGGUUCAAAUCCGCUCAUGAGCUCCAUUUAUCCAGGGGCAGAUAUGAAAAUAUCUGCCCUUGUUCUAAUGGUAGCGUGAUCCGCUCAAUUCCUUGAAGGGGAUGGUCUCCAUGGCUAAAGAAAAAAAUGAACGGAACAAGCCCACGCCGAAAGACCAAGGGUUCCUGCGCAACGUUAAUCGACGCAGGGUUAGUCGGUUCCUAAGGCGAGGCUGAAAAGCGUAGUCGAUGGGAAACAGGUUAAUAUUCCUGUACUUCUGGUUACUGCGAUGGAGGGACGGAGAAGGCUAGGCCAGCUUGGCGUUGGUUGUCCAAGUUUAAGGUGGUAGGCUGAAAUCUUAGGUAAAUCCGGGGUUUCAAGGCCGAGAGCUGAUGACGAGUCGUCUUUUAGAUGACGAAGUGGUUGAUGCCAUGCUUCCAAGAAAAGCUUCUAAGCUUCAGGUAAGCAGGAACCGUACCCCAAACCGACACAGGUGGUCGGGUAGAGAAUACCAAGGCGCUUGAGAGAACUCGGGUGAAGGAACUAGGCAAAAUGGCACCGUAACUUCGGGAGAAGGUGCGCCGGCUAGGGUGAAGGAUUUACUCCGUAAGCUCUGGCUGGUCGAAGAUACCAGGCCGCUGCGACUGUUUAUUAAAAACACAGCACUCUGCAAACACGAAAGUGGACGUAUAGGGUGUGACGCCUGCCCGGUGCCGGAAGGUUAAUUGAUGGGGUUAGCGCAAGCGAAGCUCUUGAUCGAAGCCCCGGUAAACGGCGGCCGUAACUAUAACGGUCCUAAGGUAGCGAAAUUCCUUGUCGGGUAAGUUCCGACCUGCACGAAUGGCGUAACGAUGGCGGCGCUGUCUCCACCCGAGACUCAGUGAAAUUGAAAUCGCUGUGAAGAUGCAGUGUAUCCGCGGCUAGACGGAAAGACCCCGUGAACCUUUACUGUAGCUUUGCACUGGACUUUGAGCCUGCUUGUGUAGGAUAGGUGGGAGGCUUUGAAGCGUGGACGCCAGUUCGCGUGGAGCCAUCCUUGAAAUACCACCCUGGCAUGCUUGAGGUUCUAACUCUGGUCCGUGAUCCGGAUCGAGGACAGUGUAUGGUGGGCAGUUUGACUGGGGCGGUCUCCUCCUAAAGAGUAACGGAGGAGUACGAAGGUGCGCUCAGACCGGUCGGAAAUCGGUCGCAGAGUAUAAAGGCAAAAGCGCGCUUGACUGCGAGACAGACACGUCGAGCAGGUACGAAAGUAGGUCUUAGUGAUCCGGUGGUUCUGUAUGGAAGGGCCAUCGCUCAACGGAUAAAAGGUACUCCGGGGAUAACAGGCUGAUACCGCCCAAGAGUUCAUAUCGACGGCGGUGUUUGGCACCUCGAUGUCGGCUCAUCACAUCCUGGGGCUGAAGCCGGUCCCAAGGGUAUGGCUGUUCGCCAUUUAAAGUGGUACGCGAGCUGGGUUUAGAACGUCGUGAGACAGUUCGGUCCCUAUCUGCCGUGGACGUUUGAGAUUUGAGAGGGGCUGCUCCUAGUACGAGAGGACCGGAGUGGACGAACCUCUGGUGUUCCGGUUGUCACGCCAGUGGCAUUGCCGGGUAGCUAUGUUCGGAAAAGAUAACCGCUGAAAGCAUCUAAGCGGGAAACUUGCCUCAAGAUGAGAUCUCACUGGGAACUUGAUUCCCCUGAAGGGCCGUCGAAGACUACGACGUUGAUAGGCUGGGUGUGUAAGCGUUGUGAGGCGUUGAGCUAACCAGUACUAAUUGCCCGUGAGGCUUGACCAU
rnacentral:rRNA from 1 species